UGGAGUAUGUGGUUUAAUUCGAUGCAACGCGAAAACCUUACCUACCCUUGACAUGUCCGGAAUCCCGAAGAGAUUUGGGAGUGCUCGCAAGGAGAACCGGAACACAGGUGCUGCAUGGCUGUCGUUAGCUCGUGUCGUGAGAUGUUGGGUUAAGUCCCGCAACGAGCGCAACCCUUGUCAUUAGUUGCCAUCAUUUGGUUGGGCACUCUAAUGAGACUGCCGGUGACAAACCGGAGGAAGGUGGGGAUGACGUCAAGUCCUCAUGGCCCUUAUGGGUAGGGCUUCACACGUCAUACAAUGGUCGGUACAGAGGGUUGCCAACCCGCGAGGGGGGAGCUAAUCCCACAAAGCCGAUCGUAGUCCGGAUCGCAGUCUGCAACUCGACUGCGUGAAGUCGGAAUCGCUAGUAAUCGUGGAUCAGCAUGUCACGGUGAAUACGUUCCCGGGUCUU
rnacentral:rRNA from 1 species